GAUGAACGCUGACAGAAUGCUUAACACAUGCAAGUCAACUUUGGUGGACGGGUGAGUAACGCGUAAAGAACUUGCCUCACAGCUAGGGUCAACAUUUGGCAACGAAUGCUAAUACCUGAUACUGUGAGAGAGCUUUGGGUCCCGUUAGCUAGUUGGAGAGGUAACGGCUCACCAAGGCGAUGAUGGGUAGCCGGCCUGAGGGGGUGCUCGGCCACAAGGGGACUGAGACACGGAGCUUACGCCGACGGGAAGCAGCAAUGGGGAAUAUUGGACAAUGGACCAAAGUCUGAUCCAGCAAUUCUGUGUGCAGGAUGAAUUUUUCGGAAUGUGAGGUGCUUUCACUUGGGAAGCGGUACCGACGGAAGAAGUGACGGCUAAAUACGUGCCAGCAGCCGCGGUAAUAC
rnacentral:rRNA from 1 species